ACCCGGUUCUUCUAGAUCGGAUGGGGGGAGAGGCCCUUGCAACGACCUUUAUGUGCCCCCAUAGCCCUAUUGGGAACAGAAGGAGAACCUCAUCCUAACCUGAGCUGAGAUCGACUACGUUAAGGAUAGAAGGAGGACCUCAUCCUGACGAUGACAAAAAUUUGGUCACCCAACAUGAUCGGAUAAAGGGAAAAGUCCCCUCAAUGGCACCUCCACACCUCUGCGCGACCCCGCGAAAAGCAAGGGGAGGACCCUCGCUCAGAAAAGAGAAGGAAAAUUAAAAAGGAAAAGCGACGAACUACAUCGGCAACAGAUGAAAAACAAACUACACCAAAAACAUAGGG
rnacentral:lncRNA from 1 species